rnacentral:rRNA from 1 species
GACGAACGCUGGCGGCGUGCUUAACACAUGCAAGUCGAACGAUGAAGCUGGAGCUUGCUCCGGUGGAUUAGUGGCGAACGGGUGAGUAACACGUGAGUAAUCUGCCCUUGACUCUGGGAUAACUGCGGGAAACUGUAGCUAAUACCGGAUACGACACCUUCGGGCAUCCGAUGGGUGUGGAAAGAAUUUCGGUCGAGGAUGAACUCGCGGCCUAUCAGCUAGUUGGUGAGGUAAUGGCUCACCAAGGCGACGACGGGUAGCCGGCCUGAGAGGGUGACCGGCCACACUGGGACUGAGACACGGCCCAGACUCCUACGGGAGGCAGCAGUGGGGAAUAUUGCACAAUGGGCGAAAGCCUGAUGCAGCAACGCCGCGUGAGGGAUGAAGGCCUUCGGGUUGUAAACCUCUUUUAGUUGGGAAGAAGCGAAAGUGACGGUACCAACAGAAAAAGCACCGGCUAACUACGUGCCAGCCGCCGCUGUAA